UGAACUUGGCCUGAACCAGAAAGAAAAUACACCAAAUAAUUGCAGCUGUUCUCUUGUCUUUAAUAAUCUUCUUUAAACGUCUUACCCCUCUCUCUAAGCUCUAUCUCUCUUUCUAACCAUCUUUCAACCACUUAUCCCUCUACCUCUCUAUUUCUUAUAUCACCCUAGCAAUUUUUUUUAAACCUAGUGUCCCUCUUCUUCUAACAUUCUUCUUUGAACCUCUUACAACUAUAGCAGAAGGACGAAAAACAAGAAAGAGAUAGGGUGGUUCUAAUAAAAUUUGUUGUAAUGAUGCUUCUGUUUCUUACUCUGAUAAACUUGAUAAUCUUAUUCACAUCCUUUUUUCAACUCUCCAUGUAGAAUUGAUUCACACACUUGAUAAUCUUAUUCACAUCCUUUUUUCAACUCUCCAUGUAGAAUUGAUUCACACAGGUUUAAAUAUGUGUAAAUCAUGGCACAAACUUCUCUAAUUUUUCGAAAUCCUCCCUUUCUUCCACCCUGCCUUCUGUUCGUUCCAUUUGCAUGUCUAGCUCUUGGUGCCAUUGAUUUGAAGACGCAUAAUUUGGAAUAAAUUCCUCGCACAAGUUAGGAAAAGGUGUGGGUUAGGUGAAUGUCCUCUGUCAGUACAAGUCAGGAAAAGGUAUGGGUUACAUGAAUGGGAUGAUUGCAUGAAUUUCCUCUACCAGCACAAGACAGGAAAAAGUGUGGGUUGUCCUCUGCUAGCACAAGUUAGGAAAAGGUGUGGAUUGUCCUCUGCCAGCACAAGUCAAGAAAAGGUGUGGGUUGUCCUUUGCCAGCACAAGUUAGAAAAAGGUGCGGGUUACAUGAAUGGGACGGAUUGCAUGAAUUUCCUCUGCCAGUACGAGUCAAGAAAAGGUGUGGGUUGUACUCUACCAGCACAAGUCAGGAAAAGGUGUGGGUUGUCCUCUGCUAGCACAAAGUCACGAAAAGGUGUGGGUUACAUGAAUGUUACGGGUUGCAUGAAUGUCCUUUUCCAGCACAAGUCAGGAAAAGUGUGGAUUACAUGAAUGGGACGAUUGAGUGUGCUUGACAAGUCAGGAAAACUUCUUAGUUUCUUUUGAAUCUUUCAUCAUGUUAGAAGUGAAUGUGAAUUUUGUCAUAAUUUUUUUUGAGGAUAUCCAAUGUAUUAAAAAACGGUUCACAUGUUAGAAGUGAAUGUGAAAUUUGUCAG
rnacentral:lncRNA from 1 species